rnacentral:rRNA from 1 species
AACGAACGCUGGCGGCAUGCCUAACACAUGCAAGUCGAACGAGACCUUCGGGUCUAGUGGCGCACGGGUGCGUAACGAGUGGGGACCUGCACUUAGGUUCGGAAUAACUCCCCGAAAGGGGUGCUAAUAACGGAUAAUCUCUUCGGACCAAAGAUUUAUCGCCUUUGGAUGGGCCCGCGUUGGAUUAGCUAGUUGGUAGGGUAAAAGCCUACCAAGGCGACGUUCCUUAGCUGGUCUGAUAGGAUGGCCAACCACACUGGGACUGAGACACGGCCCAGACUCCUACGCGACGCAGCAGUAGGUAAUAUUGGACAAUGGACGAAAGCCUGAUCCAGCAAUGCCGCGUAAGUGAGGAAGGCCUUUGGGUUGUAAAGCUCUUUUACCCGGGAUGAUAAUGACAGUACCGGGAGAAUAAGCACCGGCUAACUCCGUG